rnacentral:rRNA from 1 species
GAUGAACGCUGGCGGCGUGCCUAAUACAUGCAAGUCGAGCGAACGGACGAGAAGCUUGCUUCUCUGAUGUUAGCGGCGGACGGGUGAGUAACACGUGGAUAGCCUACCUAUAAGACUGGGAUAACUUCGGGAAACCGGAGCUAAUACCAGAUGAUAUUUUGAACCGCAUGGUUCAAAAGUGAAAGACGGUCUUGCUGUCACUUAUAGAUGGAUCCGCGCUGCAUUAGCUAGUUGGUAAGGUAACGGCUUACCAAGGCAACGAUGCAUAGCCGACCUGAGAGGGUGAUCGGCCACACUGGAACUGAGACACGGUCCAGACUCCUACGGGAGGCAGCAGUAGGGAAUCUUCCGCAAUGGGCGAAAGCCUGACGGAGCAACGCCGCGUGAGUGAUGAAGGUCUUCGGAUCGUAAAACUCUGUUAUUAGGGAAGAACAUAUGUGUAAGUAACUGUGCACAUCUUGACGGUACCUAAUCAGAAAGCCACGGCUAACUACGUG